GUGUCAGCAGCCGCGGUAAUACGAAGGGGGCUAGCGUUGUUCGGAAUUACUGGGCGUAAAGCGCGCGCAGGCGGUUCUCCAAGUCAGUGGUGAAAGCCCGGAGCUCAACUCCGGAAUUGCCAUUGAAACUGUAGAACUUGAGGACGAGAGAGGUGAGUGGAAUUCCCAGUGUAGAGGUGAAAUUCGUAGAUAUUGGGAAGAACACCGGUGGCGAAGGCGGCUCACUGGCUCGUUUCUGACGCUCAGGCGCGACAGCGUGGGGAUCAAACAGGAUUAGAAACCCUAGUAGUCC
rnacentral:rRNA from 1 species